CGGACGGGUGAGUAACACGUGGGUAACCUACCUAUAAGACUGGGACAACUUCGGGAAACCGGAGCUAAUACCGGAUAAUAUGUUGAACCGCAUGGUUCAAUAGUGAAAGAUGGUUUUGCUAUCACUUAUAGAUGGACCUGCGCCGUAUUAGCUAGUUGGUGAGGUAACGGCUCACCAAGGCAACGAUACGUAGCCGACCUGAGAGGGUGAUCGGCCACACUGGAACUGAGACACGGUCCAG
rnacentral:rRNA from 1 species